UACAGAGGGCGCGAGCGUUGUCCGGAAUCACUGGGCGUAAAGGGCGCGUAGGUGGCGGCGUAAGGCCGCGGUGAAAGUUCGGGGCUCAACCCUGAAUCGGCCGCGGCGACUGCGUCGCUUGGGCACUGUAGAGGCAGACGGAAUUCCGGGUGUAGCGGUGGAAUGCGUAGAGAUCCGGAAGAACACCGGUGGCGAAGGCGAGUCCCUGGAAAACUCCUGACACUGAGGCACGAAAGCUAGGGGAGCAAACAGG
rnacentral:rRNA from 1 species